rnacentral:sRNA from 1 species
UUUUAUUCCACCCUGUCCAAGGGAAGUUGAUGAAAAUCCUUUGGCUUGUGAAGAUGCAUGGUACAGACUCUGAUAUAAGUAAAUAGGUCCCUAUGUAUGUUAUGUAUUAGUGGGAUAGCUACAUCAGCAGACAUAAUGGCUGGUAUUCCAUCAUAGACCUUGUAAUCUCUUUUUUGCUGAAUUAAGUCAAAAACUAUCUUUUCUUGUAUUGUUGUAGCCGAUUCAUAACAUUCAUUUGUUGAUGUAAUGGUCUCAAGUUCUGAUAAUUAUUAGACAUUGUGUAAAAGGAAAAUCUGAUAUGAUAUGAUUGGUACCUGAAUCACAUGUUUCACCACUGCCAGAUGUUUUCUUUCACUAAACUAAAUGUACACUUGGGUUUACGUUUCAUUUUAGUCUCCAGAUUGAAGCUGGAAACAUGCAUUGUUUUGUUGGAUUGUAAACAUGUUGUUUAGCUGUUAAAAGAUUUUGAGCUUCAAGUCAAUUAAAGCUGUUUUGUAUAUUGCAUAACAGCAUUGAUACAUAGUGAGAAUGGAAGAAUGUUAGGUUCUAAAUGAAACCAAUCUACAAAACUUUUGAUCAUGUUUGUCAAUGUUGAAAAUCAAAAUCUUUACAAGCCCAGUUCUUGUCAUGAACCAGCUCAGGAAAUAUUGAAGAAUGGCAAACAUUGGUACCUAUAUUUCGUUGAUGUUUCUGCUGACAAGCACAUAGAUAUAUGCCUAGUAGGAGAGGCCGUUCUGCCAAUCACCAUAGGGCAGAAAACUUAACUGUGUCGUUUUGAUACUUUUAUAUUUGCUAUUGUCUGCAGUUAUCGCAAUUGAACAGCUUUGGCAAUUUGUCAUGACACUAAAUAUGACUUUUGUUGUGCAGUGUGCCAUUUGUUACAAAAGUGAUUGUUGUCCUCGAGUUUUGACUGUUGUACUUGAUGAAGAUAGACUUUCAUUAUUUCUCAGAAUAUUCCUGUCCUGUUACAUGCCGUGUACAGAGUUACUCCCCCUGGGAAUGUGAGCUGUAGUUUAGGUUUGGUUGUUUUAUUGUCAUUUGUUUUAUCCUACCCAUCACUUUUGGUUUCGCUGUGUGUUUUGUUCACACAACGUUCGGUCAUUAACUACAACUCCUGUUACAUUAUACUCAAGUUACUGUAGAUGCAGGAAAUGUUCUCAAAUCAUUGGGCAUUGAACUCUCAGUCAUCUAGCUUUGAAUCCAUUUGUUAUUUGUUAUAAUACAAUGUAAUUCAUGUAGAUAGUGCUAGUAUUUCUUAUGACUGGUGUUCUUUAAGGUACAUUGUACAGUUAAAGUUUCUAAAAUAGAAAUGAUAAUGAUUUAUGAGUGAAACUUGCAGGAAAUCAGUUGUGCGUUUUUUUAUAGUUAUUCAGUCCAUAGAUUAGAGAAUUUUUAAAACAACUGUGAAACUUGUUGACCUUUAUAAAAGAUAACUUAUCAGAAUAUUUUUUUUAACAAGUGAUUUAUGAAUAAUGAAUCCAAAAAACAAGUUGUAUAUGAUAAUAUACUUCUCAAGUAUGUUUACAAUUCCGAUUUAAUAUAAUGGAUUCUGUAUUUUGUGCCUAUUUAAGUUGAAUACCAUUAGAUUAAGUGAAUGAUAUACAAAGUUUGUUCCCCCCACCGAUUGGUAUUUUGUUCUGUGAUAAUCCCAUGUGACAAAAAGAUGAGUUAUGUAUCCUUUGUUAUCGUUAGAGUUUACAGGCAAGCUCUGUGGCCUGAUGGCCUCUUUAUAUCUUUAUAUAUUCUAGUCAGUCUUAUCGAUUAUUUAUAUUUAUUUAUUAUUUAUUGAUGCGUUUCCAUGUCAGAUACUGUUGCUGAGUGUAAUCUGUAAGUCUACACCUGUCAAAAAUAAAUUAUAGGUACCUGUUUUCUCUGUAAACCUAUUCCUAGAUGCAUUAGAGGGGCAAUAAUGUUACCCUGUCAAUGUCAAUGAUCUUUAUGGUCAACAAAUUUAAUAUUUCAAUAUUCUGUUGUAAUUAAGAUAGGUAGAAAUUUAUCUAAUUUAGACAAAGGUGUUUUAGUUGUAAACUAGGGUCUCUCCAAGGUUACUCUGUAUUUGUCUGUGAUAUUUGUUUUGUCUAAAUUAUUUAUUAUUUAUUUUUACACCUAUUUGUUUUUAAUAUUCUGUUUACACAGACUUGGUUUUUUUACUCAGCAAUAGAAGAGAAUGAUUGUUAACAAAGUUAUCUCUCCUGGUUCUCUCCUUCCGUCCUCUGAAACCAAAUAAAGGAUCUUCUAUCAAGU